rnacentral:rRNA from 1 species
GUGGCGGACGGGUGAGUAACGCGUGGGUAACCUGCCUUGUACAGGGGGAUAACAGUUGGAAACGGCUGCUAAUACCGCAUAAGCGCACAGCAUCGCAUGAUGCAGUGUGAAAAACUCCGGUGGUAUAAGAUGGACCCGCGUUGGAUUAGCUAGUUGGUGAGGUAACGGCCCACCAAGGCGACGAUCCAUAGCCGACCUGAGAGGGUGACCGGCCACAUUGGGACUGAGACACGGCCCAAACUCCUACGGGAGGCAGCAGUGGGGAAUAUUGCACAAUGGGCGAAAGCCUGAUGCAGCGACGCCGCGUGAGCGAAGAAGUAUUUCGGUAUGUAAAGCUCUAUCAGCAGGGAAGAUAAUGACGGUACCUGACUAAGAAGCACCGGCUAAAUACGUGCCAGCAGCCGCGGUAAUACGUAUGGUGCAAGCGUUAUCCGGAUUUACUGGGUGUAAAGGGAGCGCAGGCGGUGCGGCAAGUCUGAUGUGAAAGCCCGGGGCUCAACCCCGGUACUGCAUUGGAAACUGUCGUACUAGAGUGUCGGAGGGGUAAGCGGAAUUCCUAGUGUAGCGGUGAAAUGCGUAGAUAUUAGGAGGAACACCAGUGGCGAAGGCGGCUUACUGGACGAUAACUGACGCUGAGGCUCGAAAGCGUGGGGAGCAAACAGGAUUA